AGUAGGGGAUAACUCUGAGAAAUCGGAGCUAAUACCUUAUGUGGUGGUGGAGGUAAGGCUCCAUUACUAAAGCCUUCGGGCGCUUGGGGAUGGGCUUGCGUCCUAUCAGCUAGUUGGUAGGGUAACGGCUUACCAAGGCGACGACGGGUAGCUGGUCUGAGAGGACGGCCAGCCACACGGGGACUGAGACACGGUCCCGACUCCUACGGGAGGCAGCGGCAAGGAAUAUUGUGCAAUGGGCGAAAGCCUGACACAGCGACGCCGCGUGGGGGAAGAAGGCCUUCGGGUUGUAAACCCCUUUUCUCAGGGAAGAUAAUGACGGUACCUGAGGAAUAAGUCACGGCUAACUACGUGCCAGCAGCCGCGGUAAUACGUAGGUGGCGAGCGUUAUCCGGAUUUACUGGGCGUAAAGAGUGCGUAGGCGGUCCAGUAAGUCGGAUGUGAAAUCUCCCGGCUUAACCGGGAGGGGUCAUCCGAUACUGUUGGACUAGAGGACAGCAAGGGGAAGUGGAAUUCCCGGUGUAGUGGUGAAAUGCGUAGAUAUCGGGAGGAACACCAGUGGCGAAGGCGGCUUCCUGGGCUGUUUCUGACGCUGAGGCUCGAAAGUGUGGGGAGCGAACAGGAUUAGAUACCCUGGUAGUCCACACUGUAAACGAUGGACACUAGGUAUGGGGAGUAUCGACCCUCUCUGUGCCGAAGCUAACGCUUUAAGUGUCCCGCCUGGGGACUACGGCCGCAAGGCUAAAACUCAAAGGAAUUGACGGGGGCCCGCACAAGCAGCGGAGCGUGU
rnacentral:rRNA from 1 species